UACGGAGGGUGCAAGCGUUAUUCGGAUUCACUGGGCGUAAAGGGUGCGUAGGCGGUCGGGUGUGUCAGAUGUGAAAUCCCGAGGCUCAACCUCGGAACUGCGUCUGAAACUACUCGACUAGAGUACUGGAGAGGGUAACGGAAUUCACGGUGUAGCAGUGAAAUGCGUAGAUAUCGUGAGGAACACCAGAGGCGAAGGCGGUUACCUGGACAGUUACUGACGCUGAGGCACGAAAGCGUGGGGAGCAAACAGG
rnacentral:rRNA from 1 species